rnacentral:tRNA from 1 species
GCCGAAAUAACUCAGUUGGGAGAACGUUAGACUGAAGAUCUAAAGGUCCCUGGUUCGAUCCCGGGUUUCGGCA